GGCGGGCACAGCUCCCUGGAUGCUCCUCCUUCCCCACCCUCCACGGUCCACUUGAUUCUGUGCCUUGGAGCCCUCACCACAGCUGGUGAUGCAGGCGUGGAGCCUGCUGCUGAGGACGGCAGCACAUCUAGAAGCCUUUGAAAGGCUCUUGGGAAAUUGCAUUGCCCUCUGAAGGUCAGUGUCUGGUUCUUCACCUCAAGGAGAAAUAAAGAGCACCUGGAUAUUCAAGUGCUUGUUCCAGAAGGAUCUGGGCCCAAGGGACAGGGUAAGCACUCCCAGUCCCCGAGCCCCACGGAGCCAUGAGCUGUUGUCCUCUGAUGCGAGUUAUUUCUCAUCAUCUAAGCCACCUGUGGGGAGGUGAGGAGGGAAUGUUUGAUUACUGGGGCUGCAGCCAGAGAAACCUUUGCUGGGGAUGUCUGAACUGAGACCAAGGAGAGCCUGUGGGGCUUAGACCUGCUACCGCUUUUGAUGGCCAAGUCAAUGCCAGUUGUGCCCACUUCCCAGAUGGGAGCAGUGAGUUGGUGGAGAGAUCAUGUGACCUGAAGCUAGGAGCAUGGGGAGCCCCAUUUCAGUCAUUCCCCGGUCUCAGAAGCCACCUUUGACUCCAGUACCUCUUUCUUGGAGGGUCAAUAGGCUGUCAAGGGUACACCCAAAAGAGCAAAGGCUGAGGCGGCAGCAAUCCCCGAUAGGAAGUGAGGCUCUCCUGGGGCUCUCCUUCCAGCUGUAGCUCCAAGAGCAGGUGGGAAGUAACUUGGCCAACGGUCCUCUGAACAGUGCCAUUUUCUGGACCCUCCUGCUCUGCCUCAGCAGAGAUUUUGUGAGAGGAUUCUUGCGACCAGCUAGGUAAGUCUGGUGUUUGUUAGUGUGUCAAAUGCUCAGAAGCAAAAGAAAUUAGCCCCAUUUAAUGCCCAGCCAUCUGAGGCCAGUCUCCACCAGCCAAAACAGUCCAAGAAUGGGGACCUAAGUCCCAGCAGAAGCCAGGAUCCAUCGUGAGCAAUCAGACCACCACCAAGUGAGUCGGGUUUCCCCUUGAUUCAGAAUCAAGAGACCAAGAAGGUCUGGACUCUGCUCCCCUGUGAGAAAUAAACCCACUGACCCAAUCAAAGGAGGGACCAUGGAGACUUACAACACAGUGAAGCAAGGCUUUAACCAACAUUCUUGCAAGAGCAGGUCUGAUGGACAGGCAAGCUCGGGGCAGUUACAGCAACUUACCUCCUAGUGUGAAGUCCUUCCCCUGGUUCCUCAUUGGCUGAGCACUACAGAGAUCUUCAAGUCAAGGAGAACCACUCUUGAUGAGGUACAUGCAGAGAUGACAUCCAGAUUCAGACCUGACAUGGAUGACAAGCCCCUCGGCCUCCCAUUGAUGCCUUAAUGAGGUGGAUUUGGGGAAGGAGGUGACUGCAUUUUGUACAUGGUUGCUACAAGUCAGACCAUGGUAUACAGUCUCCAAAGAUGGCCACUGUUAACUUCAUGCUACUGCUCCUCACAUGAAAAGAUGGGGCCUAAUUCUCUUCUCCUUGAAUCUGGACCAGCAUAAUGACUUACUUGAUCAACAGAAUGCAGCAGAAAUGACACUCUUGGAUUUCUGAGAUAAAUCUUAAAAAGCCUCAUAGCCCCCUUUGGGGCCUCUUGGGCUGCUCACUUUGGGUACACUUCCUCUCAGAACCUAGAUGCCAUGUUCUGAGAAGCCCAAGCUACAUAGAGAGGUCACAGGUAGGCAUUCCAGCUGACUCCCAGCUAACAACUGGUGCCAAAUGCCAGGGUAAUUGAGUGAGCUACCUUGGAAACUGAAUUAAUUUGAACUUUCUGGUGACUCCAGCCCCAACAUCUGUCUUCAACUGCAUGAGAGGUCCCAAAUGAGAACCCCAUUGACUGGUUACAGUCUACUUAUAGAACCUUGAGAGAUAAUAAAUUUGUUUUAAUUUA